CCUAAGGUAGCGAAAUUCCUUGUCAGGUAAGUUCUGACCCGCACGAAAGGUGUAACGAUUUGGGCGCUGUCUCGGCAGCAGACUCGGUGAAAUCUUAGUACCUGUGAAAAUGCAGGUUACCCGCAACUAGACGGAAAGACCCCAUGGAGCUUUACUGCAGCCUGAUAUUGAAUUCUGGUCAUACAUGUACAGGAUAGGUGGGAGACAAAGAGACGUGCACGCCAGUGUACGAGGAGUCGUCGUUGGGAUACCACUCUUGUGUGACCGGGGUUCUAACCUGGUAUCGAUAACAGGUACGGGGAGAGUGUCAGGUGGGCAGUUUGACUGGGGCGGUCGCCUCCCAAAGAGUAACGGAGGCGCCCAAAGGUACGCUCAGAUUGGAUGGAAACCAAUCGACGAGUGCAAUUGCAGAAGCGUGCUUGACUGUGAGACUUACAAGUCGAACAGGGACGAAAGUCGGGAAUAGUGAUCCGGCGGUGCCGAAUGGAAGGGCCGUCGCUCAACGGAUAAAAGCUACCCUGGGGAUAACAGGCUGAUCUCGCCCAAGAGUUCACAUCGACGGCGAGGUUUGGCACCUCGAUGUCGGCUCAUCGCAUCCUGGAGCUGGAUUCGGUUCCAAGGGUUGGGCUGUUCGCCCAUUAAAGCGGUACGCGAGCUGGGUUCAGAACGUCGUGAGACAGUUCGGUCCCUAUCUGUUGUGGGCGAAGGAGAUCUGCGGAGAGCUGUCCUCAGUACGAGAGGACCGGGAUGGACCUACCGCUGGUGCACCGGUUGUUCCGCCAGGGGCAUAGCCGGGUAGCUAAGUAGGGAAAGGAUAAGCGCUGAAAGCAUCUAAGCACGAAGCCUACUCCAAGAUGAGAUCUCCCAUUCGCAAGAAGUAAGACCCCUUAAAGACGAUAAGGUAGAUAGGCCAGGGAUGGAAGUGCAGUGAUGUACGGAGUUGACUGGUACUAAUCGGUCGAGGACUUAAUCAG
rnacentral:rRNA from 1 species